rnacentral:rRNA from 1 species
CCCUACGGCCAUGCCACCCUGAAUGUGCCCGAUCUCGUCUGAUCUCAGAAGCUAAGCAGGGUCGGGCCUGGUUAGUACUUGGAUGGGAGACCACCUAGGAAGACCAAGUGCUGCAGGCA